rnacentral:rRNA from 1 species
CCCUUAGGUGUUCUGGGCAGCACGCGCGCUACAAUGGUCUUCGCAAACGGAUGCAUUCUCGAAGGAGAAUGCCAAUCUUGGAAUCUAUGCCUUGGUCGGGACAGUUGCUUGCAAUUUUUCGACUCGAACCAGGAAUUCCUUGUAAUCGUGAUUCAUCACAUCACGAUGAAUACGUCCCUGCCCUUUGUACACACCGCCCGUCGCUCCUACCGAUCGAAGAGUUAGGUGAAUUGUUUUGAUCGAUAAGAUUUGACUAUGGUCAACUCUCGUUGUGAAAUUCUGUGAAUCUGACUGUUUAGAGGAAGGAAAAGUCGUAACA